UAUGACCUUUGCAAACAAGAUACUAUCUGCCAUGUGUCUCAGACUCCUGAAGUGUAAAAAGAUAUAGAAGCUUAGGAUGCCUUUAAGAGUGUGAUACCAAUGGACAGUGCGAGAAUGCUUUUUUUCAGUCCACACAGCAUCAAAGGUCAAAGGAAGAGGAACCAUGAAAAUAGCUUGUGUGAGCCACGUGACAAAGCAGGAUGUCAAGAAGACACGGAGAAGCAGCUGAUGCACAGGGCCACGGCUCCUUUCUCAUUUAGCGUGAGAGAUAAGGAGCAGGUUUGAAACUUGAUCUCUGUGUUUCAUGGAACCAGCAGCAUUAAUAAAUGUGUAUGCAAUCAAAGCGUUGCCAAGACAGACCCCGCCAUGCAAUACCUGCCCACUCACUUCAUAUUUCACAACGGAAACUCCAGAAUUGUCUCAGGAAUUCUGUGUAAUGUCCAGCCAUCGUAACUACCAAGAAAUAGUUUUAACUUUUCCAGAGUCCUAAAAGCCAAUUUCAAGGCUUUCUCAGGAAUGAUUUGAGCAAGUUCAGAUUUUGUAAAGAACCAUAAAACAGCAGUAGAAACUUGA